GACGAACGCUGGCGGCGUGCUUAACACAUGCAAGUCGAACGGAAAGGCCUCUUUCGGGGGGUACUCGAGUGGCGAACGGGUGAGUAACACGUGAGUAACCUGCCCUUGACUUUGGGAUAACUUCAGGAAACUGGGGCUAAUACCGGAUAGGAGCUCCUGCUGCAUGGUGGGGGUUGGAAAGUUUCGGCGGUUGGGGAUGGACUCGCGGCUUAUCAGCUUGUUGGUGGGGUAGUGGCUUACCAAGGCUUUGACGGGUAGCCGGCCUGAGAGGGUGACCGGCCACAUUGGGACUGAGGUACGGCCCAGACUCCUACGGGAGGCAGCAGGGGGGAAUAUUGCACAAGGGGUGGAAGCCUGAUGCAGCAACGCCGUGUGCGGGAUGACGGCCUUCGGGUUGUAAACCGCUUUCGCUCAUGACGAAGCUUUGUGUGACGGUAGUGGGUAAAGAAGCACCGGCUAACUACGUG
rnacentral:rRNA from 1 species